rnacentral:rRNA from 1 species
AGCAGCCGCGGUAAUUCCAGCUCCAAUAGCGUAUAUUAAAGUUGUUGCAGUUAAAAAGCUCGUAGUUGAAUUUCGGGGUCAGUAGGCUGGUCGUGCCACAGGUACGCACUGGUCUCACUGAUUCCUCCUUCCUGAUGAACCGUAAUGCCAUUAAUUUGGUGUUGCGGGGAGACUGGACUGUUACUUUGAAAAAUUAGAGUGUUCAAAGCAGGCUAACGCUUGAAUACAUUAGCAUGGAAUAAUGAAAUAGGACGUUCGGUCUUAUUUUGUUGGUUUCUAAGAUUGACGUAAUGAUUAAUAGGGAUAGUUGGGGGCAUUAGUAUUCAAUUGUCAGAGGUGAAAUUCUUGGAUUUAUUGAAGACUAACUACUGCGAAAGCAUUUGCCAAGGAUGUUUUCAUUAAUCAAGAACGAAAGUUAGGGGAUCGAAGACGAUCAGAUACCGUCGUAGUCUUAACCAUAAACUAUGCCGACUAGGGAUCGGAUGAUGUAAUUUU